rnacentral:rRNA from 1 species
UUUCUUUGCUGGCGACCGGCGCACGGGUGAGUAACACGUAUCCAACCUGCCCUUUACUCGGGGAUAGCCUUUCGAAAGAAAGAUUAAUACCCGAUAGUAUAAUGAUUCCGCAUGGUUUCAUUAUUAAAGGAUUCCGGUAAAGGAUGGGGAUGCGUUCCAUUAGGUUGUUGGUGAGGUAACGGCUCACCAAGCCUUCGAUGGAUAGGGGUUCUGAGAGGAAGGUCCCCCACAUUGGAGCUGAGACACGGUCCAA